rnacentral:rRNA from 1 species
GACGUAGGAUGCGAGCGUUGUCCGGAUUUAUUGGGCGUAAAGAGUUCGUAGGCGGUUUGUUAAGUCUGAUGUUAAAGACCGGGGCUCAACCCUGGAAGUGCAUUGGAUACUGGCAGACUGGAGUGCAGUAGAGGUAAGUGGAAUUCCUAGUGUAGCGGUGAAAUGCGUAGAUAUUAGGAAGAACACCAGUGGCGUAAGCGACUUACUGGGCUGUAACUGACGCUGAGGAACGAAAGCCAGGGUAGCGAAUGGG